rnacentral:rRNA from 1 species
GACGAACGCUGGCGGCGUGCCUAAUACAUGCAAGUUGAGCGCUGAAGGUUGGUACUUGUACCGACUGGAUGAGCAGCGAACGGGUGAGUAACGCGUGGGGAAUCUGCCUUGAGCGGGGGACAACAUUUGGAAACGAAUGCUAAUACCGCAUAAAAACUUUAAACACAAGUUUUAAGUUUGAAAGAUGCAAUUGCAUCACUCAAAGAUGAUCCCGCGUUGUAUUCGCUAGUUGGUGAGGUAAAGGCUCACCAAGGCGAUGAUACAUAGCCGACCUGAGCGGGUGAUAUGCCACAUUGGGACUGAGACACGGCCCAAACGCCUACGGGAGGCAGCAGUAGGGAAUCUUCGGCAAUGGACGAAAGUCUGACCGAGCAACGCCGCGUGAGUGAAGAAGGUUUUCGGAUCGUAAAACUCUGUUGGUAGAGAAGAACGUUGGUGAGAGUGGAAAGCUCAUCAAGUGACGGUAACUACCCAGAAAGGGACGGCUAACUACGUGCCAGCCGCCGCGGUAA